GAAUAUUGCGCAAUGGGCGAAAGCCUGACGCAGCAACGCCGCGUGCCCGAUGAAGGCCUUCGGGUUGUAAAGGGCUUUUAAGAGCGAAGAGGAAGGACAGUAGCUCUUGAAUAAGUGUCGGCUAACUACGUGCCAGCAGCCGCGGUAACACGUAGGACACGAGCGUUAUCCGGAUUUACUGGGCGUAAAGGGCUGGCAGGCGGCUGUGUAAGUUGGACGUGAAAGCUCUCGGCUUAACCGGGAGAGGCCGUUCGAGACUGCACAGCUAGAGGGCAGUAGAGGGGCGUGGAAUUCCGGGUGGAGUGGUGAAAUGCGUAGAGAUCCGGAGGAACCUCAGAGGCGAAAGCGGCGCUCUGGGCUGCAUCUGACGCUGAACAGCGAAAGCUAGGGUAGCGAACGGG
rnacentral:rRNA from 1 species